GCUCCGUUGGUGAACCAGCGGAGGGAUCAUUACCGGGUGCAAACUCAUAACCCUUUGUGAACCUAUAUCUGUUGCUUCGGCGGCUCGCUCUCGGGCGAGCCCGCCGGUAAUAUCAGUAUCUCUGUUUGAACCCGACGAUACUUCUGAGUGUUCUUAGCGAACAGUUAAAACUUUUAACAACGGAUCUCUUGGCUCUA
rnacentral:misc_RNA from 1 species